rnacentral:tRNA from 1 species
ACAUUUUUGAAUAUCAUAUCAAAAAUUGACCGCUCCAGCGGGAUUCGAACCCGCGUCUUCGACAUACCGUGUCGACGCUCUAGCCAAUUAAGCUAUGGAACGAUAUACUCGCCAGAGCGAAACUUUUGAUAUGAUGACUUUUACUUUUCGGUUUAAGCGAACCGUGGCGCCGUCUAUAGUGAGUUCUUUACAGAGACUCGUAACUAUUCAAAGUUUCAUAUUACAAUGAAAAUCUUUGACAGGAGACGACACCAUGCUAUUUUUAAUAUGUACGAUUUUUAUUUUUGUGUUACCCACAAUUAGGAAUUCUAAACAUUUUUGAAUAUCAUAUCAAAAAUUGACCGCUCCAGCGGGAUUCGAACCCGCGUCUUCGACAUACCGUGUCGACGCUCUAGCCAAUUAAGCUAUGGAACGAUAUACUCGCCAGAGCGAAACUUUUGAUAUGAUGACUUUUACUUUUCGGUUUAAGCGAACCGUGGCGCCGUCUAUAGUGAGUUCUUUACAGAGACUCGUAACUAUUCAAAGUUUCAUAUUACAAUGAAAAUCUUUGACAGGAGACGACACCAUGCUAUUUUUAAUAUGUACGAUUUUUAUUUUUGUGUUACCCACAAUUAGGAAUUCUAAACAUUUUUGAAUAUCAUAUCAAAAAUUGACCGCUCCAGCGGGAUUCGAACCCGCGUCUUCGACAUACCGUGUCGACGCUCUAGCCAAUUAAGCUAUGGAACGAUAUACUCGCCAGAGCGAAACUUUUGAUAUGAUGACUUUUACUUUUCGGUUUAAGCGAACCGUGGCGCCGUCUAUAGUGAGUUCUUUACAGAGACUCGUAACUAUUCAAAGUUUCAUAUUACAAUGAAAAUCUUUGACAGGAGACGACACCAUGCUAUUUUUAAUAUGUACGAUUUUUAUUUUUGUGUUACCCACAAUUAGGAAUUCUAAACAUUUUUGAAUAUCAUAUCAAAAAUUGACCGCUCCAGCGGGAUUCGAACCCGCGUCUUCGACAUACCGUGUCGACGCUCUAGCCAAUUAAGCUAUGGAACGAUAUACUCGCCAGAGCGAAACUUUUGAUAUGAUGACUUUUACUUUUCGGUUUAAGCGAACCGUGGCGCCGUCUAUAGUGAGUUCUUUACAGAGACUCGUAACUAUUCAAAGUUUCAUAUUACAAUGAAAAUCUUUGACAGGAGACGACACCAUGCUAUUUUUAAUAUGUACGAUUUUUAUUUUUGUGUUACCCACAAUUAGGAAUUCUAAACAUUUUUGAAUAUCAUAUCAAAAAUUGACCGCUCCAGCGGGAUUCGAACCCGCGUCUUCGACAUACCGUGUCGACGCUCUAGCCAAUUAAGCCACGGUUCGCUUAAACCGAAAAGUAAAAGUCAUCAUAUCAAAAGUUUCGCUCUGGCGAGUAUAUCGUUCCAUAGCUUAAUUGGCUAGAGCGUCGACACGGUAUGUCGAAGACGCGGGUUCGAAUCCCGCUGGAGCGGUCAAUUUUUGAUAUGAUAUUCAAAAAUGUUUAGAAUUCCUAAUUGUGGGUAACACAAAAAUAAAAAUCGUACAUAUUAAAAAUAGCAUGGUGUCGUCUCCUGUCAAAGAUUUUCAUUGUAAUAUGAAACUUUGAAUAGUUACGAGUCUCUGUAAAGAACUCACUAUAGACGGCGCCACGGUUCGCUUAAACCGAAAAUAAAAGUCAUCAUAUCAAAAGUUUCGCUCUGGCGAGUAUAUCGUUCCAUAGCGUAAUUGGCUAGAGCGUCGACACGGUAUGUCGAAGACGCGGGUUCGAAUCCCGCUGGAGCGGUCAAUUUUUGAUAUGAUAUUCAAAAAUGUUUAGAAUUCCUAAUUGUGGGUAACACAAAAAUAAAAAUCGUACAUAUUAAAAAUAGCAUGGUGUCGUCUCCUGUCAAAGAUUUUCAUUGUAAUAUGAAACUUUGAAUAGUUACGAGUCUCUGUAAAGAACUCACUAUAGACGGCGCCACGGUUCGCUUAAACCGAAAAGUAAAAGUCAUCAUAUCAAAAGUUUCGCUCUGGCGAGUAUAUCGUUCCAUAGCUUAAUUGGCUAGAGCGUCGACACGGUAUGUCGAAGACGCGGGUUCGAAUCCCGCUGGAGCGGUCAAUUUUUGAUAUGAUAUUCAAAAAUGUUUAGAAUUCCUAAUUGUGGGUAACACAAAAAUAAAAAUCGUACAUAUUAAAAAUAGCAUGGUGUCGUCUCCUGUCAAAGAUUUUCAUUGUAAUAUGAAACUUUGAAUAGUUACGAGUCUCUGUAAAGAACUCACUAUAGACGGCGCCACGGUUCGCUUAAACCGAAAAGUAAAAGUCAUCAUAUCAAAAGUUUCGCUCUGGCGAGUAUAUCGUUCCAUAGCUUAAUUGGCUAGAGCGUCGACACGGUAUGUCGAAGACGCGGGUUCGAAUCCCGCUGGAGCGGUCAAUUUUUGAUAUGAUAUUCAAAAAUGUUUAGAAUUCCUAAUUGUGGGUAACACAAAAAUAAAAAUCGUACAUAUUAAAAAUAGCAUGGUGUCGUCUCCUGUCAAAGAUUUUCAUUGUAAUAUGAAACUUUGAAUAGUUACGAGUCUCUGUAAAGAACUCACUAUAGACGGCGCCACGGUUCGCUUAAACCGAAAAGUAAAAGUCAUCAUAUCAAAAGUUUCGCUCUGGCGAGUAUAUCGUUCCAUAGCUUAAUUGGCUAGAGCGUCGACACGGUAUGUCGAAGACGCGGGUUCGAAUCCCGCUGGAGCGGUCAAUUUUUGAUAUGAUAUUCAAAAAUGUUUAGAAUUCCUAAUUGUGGGUAACACAAAAAUAAAAAUCGUACAUAUUAAAAAUAGCAUGGUGUCGUCUCCUGUCAAAGAUUUUCAUUGUAAUAUGAAACUUUGAAUAGUUACGAGUCUCUGUAAAGAACUCACUAUAGACGGCGCCACGGUUCGCUUAAACCGAAAAGUAAAAGUCAUCAUAUCAAAAGUUUCGCUCUGGCGAGUAUAUCGUUCCAUAGCUUAAUUGGCUAGAGCGUCGACACGGUAUGUCGAAGACGCGGGUUCGAAUCCCGCUGGAGCGGUCAAUUUUUGAUAUGAUAUUCAAAAAUGUUUAGAAUUCCUAAUUGUGGGUAACACAAAAAUAAAAAUCGUACAUAUUAAAAAUAGCAUGGUGUCGUCUCCUGUCAAAGAUUUUCAUUGUAAUAUGAAACUUUGAAUAGUUACGAGUCUCUGUAAAGAACUCACUAUAGACGGCGCCACGGUUCGCUUAAACCGAAAAGUAAAAGUCAUCAUAUCAAAAGUUUCGCUCUGGCGAGUAUAUCGUUCCAUAGCUUAAUUGGCUAGAGCGUCGACACGGUAUGUCGAAGACGCGGGUUCGAAUCCCGCUGGAGCGGUCAAUUUUUGAUAUGAUAUUCAAAAAUGUUUAGAAUUCCUAAUUGUGGGUAACACAAAAAUAAAAAUCGUACAUAUUAAAAAUAGCAUGGUGUCGUCUCCUGUCAAAGAUUUUCAUUGUAAUAUGAAACUUUGAAUAGUUACGAGUCUCUGUAAAGAACUCACUAUAGACGGCGCCACGGUUCGCUUAAACCGAAAAGUAAAAGUCAUCAUAUCAAAAGUUUCGCUCUGGCGAGUAUAUCGUUCCAUAGCUUAAUUGGCUAGAGCGUCGACACGGUAUGUCGAAGACGCGGGUUCGAAUCCCGCUGGAGCGGUCAAUUUUUGAUAUGAUAUUCAAAAAUGUUUAGAAUU